GUUACACCGGCAAUACAAGUAGUGCAUGAGCCACGAGGAGGCUGUAUAGUCCGCACCACUGCACGUGACCGAUGAGGACUGACGGAUACUCUGUGAUAGGUUUUCGUUUGAUUCUUUUCAGAAGAGGAGCAAAAUAAAUUCUGACAACAGAGGAAAGUUAGAAGUGAACCACGUAGCUGGUUCAAAGUAAUUUGUACGACUUCGUCAUGACAUGCGAGAUUCUGUCACUGGCCAGGAGCCCGGACUAGUAGACUUCUACAAAGGGACUCACUGUCGGCAGGCGAUGGGAUCUUGGGUACAUCCUAGAGCCAGCGAGAUUUGGGUAAAGAUCCUUACAUUGUAAAAUUUAUUUGCAUUAAAUUAUAAUAAUGUCAUUUAUUAUGAAAAUUUAUAUGUUUUCAUUACAUGAGGAGAUGGACACCUUACGGAGUCAGCCCACUCCCGAUGAUACUCAGCGGAGUGAGCCAGAGAUCCUGAGUCAGGUGCUUGGCACCCGUUCUGGAUAUGUGCGUGGAUUUGGCCAUGGUGCCAAGCUCAUGGCACCCGCUAGAGCUGCCUCCAGCCGAUCCAUCGUCGUUGGCGUCAGUGCCGUACGCCGAGCUAAUACCACAAAGAGAGAGGUUCAGCAGCUACGGGUCGUUGUCGAUGACAUCAAAGAUCAGCUAAACAGACAGAGGGAGGAGCAGGAGAGGAAGAUGAUGGAUCAGCUGGCGAGGCAGAGGGAGGAGCAGGAGAGGAGGAUAGAGGAGGAGCUGGCGAGGCAGAGGGAGGAGCAGGAGAGGAGGAUAGAGGAGGAACUGGCGAGGCAGAGGGA